GUUUCCGAGGUGUAGUGGUUAUAACUUUUGUCUAACACGCGAAAGGUCCUCAGAACGAUACCGGGAGGAAAUG